GUGUUCUGUGCUACAGUGCUACAGCUACAGCUACAGUAGCUACGUUCACCCGCUGCUGCCCGUUUUUUUUUGUUCUGCGAUGGCUGCUGGCUGUUCCCCUUCUUCACUGGCAUCAGAAUCGAUGGCAUGUGAAUACAGAUGAACGAUCGGAUUCGCUGUCUUUUUGGUACAACAAAUCAAAGAGCGUUUCAAGCAAUAAUUACGACGCAGACGUGAUUCUCGAACCUUCGAAACGAAAUUUAUGGCAUUUAUGCUGGCGUUAAAUCAAACGAUGAAACAAGAAAAAACUUGACUGUGGAGAAAAGGACUAAAGUUAUAUAAUAUAGAUUAGCUGUUGUCCGUAAAUUGUAUUUUGUUUAUUUGUUGUUAGAGUAAGAUUCCUUUCUGAUGCACGAAACUUGGCUGUUUUUUAUCUUUCUAUCUCUUAACUGCUUUGUUCCUGCAGUGUUUCAAAAGCUAAUUGUGACGAAGAUGUGAUAUGUGGACCUCAAAUGUACAGAACUGCGUAAUAACUCUAUAACUCUUUGGAGUUCAGAAGAGGAGUCAUUAAUUCUUAAGAAAUUUUUAGAUGAUAUAUAUCUAAACGAGCACC